GUCUAGUGGCGCACGGGUGCGUAACGCGUGGGAAUCUGCCCUUGGGUUCGGGAUAACAGUUGGAAACGACUGCUAAUACCGGAUGAUAUCUUCGGAUCAAAGAUUUAUCGCCCAGGGAUGAGCCCGCGUAGGAUUAGCUUGUUGGUGAGGUAAAAGCUCACCAAGGCGACGAUCCUUAGCUGGUCUGAGAGGAUGAUCAGCCACACUGGGACUGAGACACGGCCCAGACUCCUACGGGAGGCAGCAGUGGGGAAUAUUGGACAAUGGGCGAAAGCCUGAUCCAGCAAUGCCGCGUGAGUGAUGAAGGCCUUAGGGUUGUAAAGCUCUUUUACCAGGGAUGAUAAUGACAGUACCUGGAGAAUAAGCUCCGGCUAACUCCGUGCCAGCAGCCGCGGUAAUACGGAGGGAGCUAGCGUUGUUCGGAAUUACUGGGCGUAAAGAGUACGUAGGCGGUGAUUCAAGUCAGAGGUGAAAGCCUGGAGCUCAACUCCAGAACUGCCUUUGAAA
rnacentral:rRNA from 1 species